rnacentral:rRNA from 1 species
CAAGCGCUGGAAACGGGGUCUAAUACCGGAUAUGACAUCCUCCCGCAUGGGAAGGGUGUGGAAAGCUCCGGCGGUGCAGGAUGAGCCCGCGGCCUAUCAGCUUGUUGGUGGGGUGAUGGCCUACCAAGGCGACGACGGGUAGCCGGCCUGAGAGGGCGACCGGCCACACUGGGACUGAGACACGGCCCAGACUCCUACGGGAGGCAGCAGUGGGGAAUAUUGCACAAUGGGCGGAAGCCUGAUGCAGCGACGCCGCGUGAGGGAUGACGGCCUUCGGGUUGUAAACCUCUUUCAGCAGGGAAGAAGCGAAAGUGACGGUACCUGCAGAAGAAGCACCGGCUAACUACGUGCUAGCAGCCGCGGUAAUACGUAGGGUGCGAGCGUUGUCCGGAAUUAUUGGGCGUAAAGAGCUCGUAGGCGGCCUGUCACGUCGGAUGUGAAAGCCCGGGGCUUAACCCCGGGUCUGCAUUCGAUACGGGCAGGCUAGAGUUCGGUAGGGGAGAUCGGAAUUCCUGG